CAAAACCUCCUUUCAGUCGCAGUUAGUGACAGAGAGAGAGAGAGAGAGAUAGAGGUGUUUUGUGUCAAGAGGAUUUCCAUUGAAAUGGAGUGCUUCAGUGUUUUCGUUCAGUUGAUGUUGGUAAGCGUUGCCUCUGCCGGGAUAGAUGGAAUACAUUGGACAUAUACAGAAGGGGCCCUGGACCAAGUGCACUGGGCGGAGAACUAUCCUGCGUGUGGCGGCCGGAAACAGUCCCCCAUUGACAUCCAGAGGCAGAGCGUGCGACACAACCCCCACAUGAUACAGCUGGAGCUCACCGGAUAUGAUGCUCAGAAGGGGAACUUCCUCAUGAAAAACAACGGACACUCAGUUGAAAUCGUCCUCCCUCCCAGCAUGGUGAUCACCAAGGGUCUCCCCGGGCACUACACGGCCGUCCAGAUGCACCUCCACUGGGGCGGCUGGGACCUGGAGGAGAGCGGGGCAGAGCACACUCUGGACGGCAUCAGAUACAUGGCAGAGCUCCACGUUGUCCAUUAUAACUCUGAUAAGUACAAGAGCUUUCAAGAGGCCAGCGACAAGCCCGACGGACUGGCAGUUCUAGCCUUCUUCUUCGAGGACGGACAUUUUGAGAACACCUACUACAGCGAUUUCAUCAACAACCUGGAAAAAGUCAAGUACACAGGCCAGUCCCUGAACAUAUCCACCCUCAACGUGCGCUCCAUGCUACCUGAGAACCUGAACCAUUUCUUCAGGUACCAGGGCUCUCUCACCACCCCUCCCUGUUACGAGAGCAUCCUGUGGACCGUGUUUGACACACCCAUCACCCUCUCUCACAACCAGAUCAGGAAGUUGGAAAGCACUCUGAUGGACAUGGACAAUAGGACCCUGUGGAAUGAUUACCGCAUGGCCCAACCUCUCAACGACCGCGUGGUCGAGUCCUCCUUCCUGCCUGGCCUGAGGAAAGGCACUUUCUGUCGACAUGAUGAAAUAGAAUCAAAGCUCCUGAAGAUUGAGGGUCUGAUAACCUCACUUGGAAAACACAUACGUGCAAGUGCAAUUGGGGAUGCAAGGCCUUCCGAACAUGAGCCCCGAGUGAUGUCUCCCCUAGUGCUCCACUUCCCAGAGAGCAACACCGAGAGCUAUGCCCGGGCCCACCUGGCUCACUCCAUGGACCUGCACUCCUUCACCGCCUGCAUGCACCUGAAGACACGCCCUGGAGAGAUACACACUGUCCUGUCAUACUCCAGCCAGGGCAACGACAACGAACUGAUGAUCACCGUGGGAUAUGAGGUGGGUCUGUGGAUCGGCAACGAGUUUGUCAACCUGCCCCACAACUUCCACUCCCGUGACUGGGUCAACUACUGUGUCACCUGGUCGUCCCACUCCGGGGGGGCUGAGCUGUGGAUCAACGGAGUGGUGGGGGAGGAGCAGUACCUCCGGAGGAGAUACACAGUCAGCCCAGCAGGGGUCUUCAUCCUGGGGAAGGACCAGGACGGCUUCCUGGGGAUCUCUGACAGGGACGCCUUCGUGGGUCAGAUGACGGAUGUCAACGUGUGGGACUACGUUUUGAACUCGGCUGAGAUCCGGGAACAGAUGUCCUGUGAGGACACCGCCUCUCCCAGGGGGAAUGUGUUUAGCUGGGGGGUCACACCUCUGAGUCUCUAUGGAGGGGUGCAGCUGGAGACAGACUACAGGUGUCACUGAGGGGAGGGGUGCAGCUGGAGACAGACUACAGGUGUCACUGAGGGGAGGGGUGCAGCUGGAGACAGACUACAGGUGUCACUGAGGGGAGGGGUGCAGCUGGAGACAGACUACAGGUGUACUGGGUGGUGUUAAGUCGGGCACAACGUAGCAAAACGCAUUGAAAUGGGGAAUAAAAUAUAAAUGAUGUCUUGUCAAUAUAUCAAAUCUAUCCUUUACUGCUAACUAUUGAGUAUGAAGGAUAUCUCAUCUAUUUGAGACAUGGGUAACGGGCUCAGUAUAACAAUGUUUAUUGUAUAAGGGAAGGGAAUCGCAGCAGAUCUCUGAAUGUCCGUGUGGGCUCAGAGCAUCAGCAAUCCAUCGUAUUCGUAUCUUUUGUUUUCUUAAUAAAGUUCUAUAUUAAGCA